AAGUCGUAACAAGGUUUCCGUAGGUGAACCUGCGGAAGGAUCAUUAAAGAGGAGGAAAAGGACACUGUGCACGCACGAAACGAAAGUAUGCAGAGUAUUGUUUUAAUAAAACAACUUUUAGCAACGGAUCUCUAGGUUCUC
rnacentral:misc_RNA from 1 species